AUUUCUAGCCUUAUAGAUCGGUGAAUAAAUGCGAUAAGAUUUCAUUUGUCUAUGAAAAUGAUCUGUUUGAUCAUAGAUAAUAUACUGAAGAUAGAAAGAGACAUAUAAAUAAAAGGUAAAAAGAAUCUUAUUACCACGAACCGAUCAGUGAUCAAAGUUAGUUUCCGAACAUUCAGAUCAUGAUCGGGUUAAACCGAUCAUAGUUUCCGAAAAGUCUAUUUUUUCCAUUAUGUUGUGAUUGGUGGAAUGAAAUAAGGAAGUAGAGAUAUAAACAAGAAAAUGACUUAGAAGUUAUUAUUUUUCUUGAAACUGUAUUAAUUUCAUUUCACUAGUGUAUUAUUCUCUGUGGCCACUACGUAAUAAUCUGAACAACAAAAAAUUUUUAGACUCGAAUUUGGAGAAAAAAACUCAGAUGAAGAUAUUUAUAUAAAUCGAUAGAGGAGAAUGAUUGAAUUUUUGUGGUCAUAUACAAAGUGUUCGUAAUUUUUCUAAUUUGGAUUUCAAAGCAAAACCUCCAACUCCCGAAUAUAAUACGACCAUAAUGAAACCUAUCGUUCAAUUCACCCCAAAAGUAAGCACUCGACAGAUUGAAAAGGAGGACAAUUAUAGAGCAAGUUAAACAACUGAAAGUGGACCAAAAGUAAGCGUGUGACAGUCUGAAAAGGAGGAUAUGGAACAACUGAAAGUACCCCAAAAGUAAGCAUUUGAAUCUGAAAGGGGGACAAUUAUAGAGUACGUGGAACAACUGAGGGUAUCCCAAAAGUAAGCAUGUGACAGUCUGAAAAGGACGACAAUAAUAGAGGAUAUAGAACAGUUGAAAGGACCCCAAAAGUUAACACGAUUGGUGAACAUGUUUAGAGAGAGGCAGGAUAAAGACGAUUGAAAAUAAUGGGAAUGGAAGAAACAAAAUAGUACAGUUAAGUGAUGACCUCAGCUUCAAAGUACACUUUUAAUUGAGAUAAGCAACAAGAAUGACACAAAAUACGUGCUGAGACACAUAAUUCUUGCAGGACGUAGAGUAUAUGGUGGAUAAAAGCGGACACACAUUAAAAAAAUGAAAAAACGAUAGCGGAAAAGUAUAAUUACAAAAUGGAGAACGAGAAAAUAGUGCCAGGAAGACCGAAAAGUAGAUGCAGGGUCAAAAGAGCACAAUUCGAGCCGGUACAAUUCUUUAUACAUCAAAGAGGAACAAUAGGAGAACAUAAAUUCAUCAAAGCACAACAAACAACUACUAUUUUGUCCAAUAUAUGGCGAUCUUCCGGAUUACUUCCCUUUUUAAUCAAACUAAUCGGUAUGGUAUCUUUGACAAUUUUAAAUUUAUUUUUCAUCAUUCCGACAAUUUUCUUAACGUGAAUUCUAACGUGGGAAACGUUUCUAGUUAGCUCCAUAUCCAAAGGAUGUAACUGAUCCUUAAUCUUUAUAAAAACUUGUAUAACACAAUUUAUUGAUGAAUCCUCAGAAGUAUCUUCAAUUAAAAACCCCCUAUUCGCUAAAACAACGUCCCCCGGUGAAAUAUAAUUCAAAAAAUCACUAUUUGCAACCAUUUCUUCGUCUGUAGCCGUCCCUUCCCAAGCUUUACUAACAUAACUAACCGUUCCCUGUGGAGUGAACCCUAUUAAAAAUUUUAUAAUGUUGUCGUGUUUGUUUUUCGACCAAUACUGUUGUUGGUGCGGUUUUUCGAUAAAAAAUUCGAAACAAUCUACAAUAACGGUCGUUUUGUCUUGAAAAGCUUCUCCAAAACAAGAAGGUAUAUUUUUUUGUGCCACUAAACGGUCCGGGAAUCUUAUUAAAUGCUUGAAUUUGGUAUAAAGAAUAUUCAAAAUGUUUUCGAAAUAUGUAAAACUGGAGGUCGGGGAAAUUUUAAAGUGCCAAGCUAAAUCGCAAAAAUCAUAAUUCAAUCUCAAUUUAAUAAGAGCGAGCAGCAACUGAUUAAAGCUACUAAGGGCGUUAGUACUUUGGGUAGUGAUACUAGUUUCAAUAGUUUUGAAAAUAAUAUAAAAUGUAACGUUGUAGGUGAAACCUGUAUAAUACUUCCACUUCAAAUCGUUGCUGGUCUCCUCCUGAAGACCAAAAGGUGACAUGUCCAAUUUUUUUUCCAAAUCUUCCAUUUUUCUUGUAGCGCAACUGAGUUGAUCGAAUUUCAAGUAAAGAUCAUUCAUGGUAAGAUCCGUUUGAGACGCGAUACCAGUCUCGACAUGUACAGUGAUAUUUGAUUCAUCAAGUUUAAUAAACUUAAAAUAACAUCAAGUUAAAAUAAUAUUACAGGCCGUUUGUUUUUACACACUUACCUUACCACUUUUAAAUCUUUUUGUGUAUAAAAUAUUCUCAUCGUCAGAUUGUCUUUGAACUUUUGGAGAAUUGCGUCCCAUAUUUUGAGACGGAAUCCAGUCAGGAUGACUGUACUCCUCUAAAGCAGCAGGCUUUCCUAACAUUAAUACAAAAUAUAUUGAAACUUUUCGUCAAUACGAAGCGACAUAUUGAAAUAUAUCUCUAACACACACUUUGCGGUAUUUAAAAUUCGCGCUAAUUGAACUCGCUUUACGCGAACGCAUUGAUUGGUCAUUUAACGCGUGUGACAACCAGUACAGUAACAAUUGAUUGGUCUUUUUAAACUAAAAGAACUGAUAUGAAUUUAAGUUGGCAAUUCUGUUGAUUCCUGAUUGGUCGAAUUCCGGCCGGUUUUACAUAGCAUUUUUGACAUUUAUGACAUACGACAAUUGUAUAAAUUAUAAACAAAUAUUUUACAUUUUGUUCUUUCUUGCAUAAUUGCUAUUGUUUUAUUAAAAUAUAAAAACAGUUCUUGUAACGACUAAUUUGAAAAUGAACGCAGAUAAUAUUCCAAAUACUGUCGUCUGUAAUUGUAGGUCACUUAUCGUCUACAGAGAAGUAAAACAUUGUGAAGCUGUAUAAACAAAUCUCAGAUGAUGAACCAGAGACAAAGGUGAUUGCCGUUGUGCUUAAAAUUGUAAAAACGUUGGGUAAGUCAUCGAAAAUAGCAUUUUUGUAUCUGGGGGAACGGCAAUGCUCCCGCCAAGUCGAGCAACACACUAUUUAAAAAGGCUCUGUUUUGGCCAGAAGAAAGCAAAUAUGAAAAUUAGAAACGAAACAAAGAAAAAAUUCCUUCUGCCAUUACAUCAGAGAGUUGACAGGAAUACCAUAAAAAAAAUAACUAGAAAAUAAGCAGGAAGAAAGAGAAAGAAGAGCUGAAAACGGGAAGCACAAGCAAGAGGUAAAGAAAACAACAUGAAAUAUGUGUCGGAUGUAAAAAGAAAGAAGUUAAUUUAAAAUCAAAAGGGAAUCUAAAAUUUGAUGACAUAAAAGUGGGAGAUUUUGUAUUGGCAAAGUUUAUGGGAGACUGAUGGAAAACGAUAUUUCCAAAAUAAAAAUGAAAGAUUGAGAAACUGAAUUGCAAAAUAUUGGUAAUUGAAUAAAAUAUACUUUUUCAAAUGAGAUAGAUAAUUUGAUUGUCUCUCAUAUUUUAUGCCUACUUUUGUUAUUACUAAAUCAUUAAUAAUUUUAUAUACUCAUGUAAUAAGGAAA